rnacentral:rRNA from 1 species
AAACCAACAGGGAUUGCCCUAGUAACGGCGAGUGAAGCGGCAACAGCUCAAAUUUGAAAGCUAGCCUUCGGGUUCGCAUUGUAAUUUGUAGAGGAUGAUUUGGGGAAGCCGCCUGUCUAAGUUCCUUGGAACAGGACGUCAUAGAGGGUGAGAAUCCCGUAUG